ensembl:lincRNA
AUGCCAUGGACUGCAGCAUGCCAAGCUCCUCUAUUCUCCACUAUGAUGACCUAUAUUGAGUUAUUCUUAAGGAGAGCCGGGCAAGAAGAGGCUGCUGACUGGAGUCCAGACCAAGCUAAUCAACUCUCUGAAGUCAAAACAGAGAGUUUGAAUGAUGAGUCCCCAGGCAGAUUUCAGGAAUGCAGAACAUUUGGUGAGUUUGCAUAUUCUACUAGGAGCAUGUUUGCUCUGCAAGUUACACCAAAACCAAGAACUUUCUGGGGAACCAGAAACUCUUGGGCUCUAAUACCAUUCUUCUUCUUAAUUAAUUUGUUUUAUUUUUGGUUGAACUGGGUCUUCAUUGCUGGACUUUGUCUAGUUGUGGAGAGCGGGGCCUACUCUCUAGUCGAGGUGCAUGGGCUUCUCAUCGCAGUGACUUCUUUUGGUUGCGGAGCACAGGCCCCUGGGUGCAGGGGUUUCAGUACUUGUGGCUCAGUAGUUGUGGCUCCUGGCCUGUAGAGCACAGGCUCAGUAGCUGUGGCACGUGUAUGCUAGUUGUCCUGCAGCAUGUGGGAUCUUCCCAGCCCAGGGGUCGAACCUGUGUCCCCUGCUUUGACAGGCAGAUUCUUAUCCAUUGUACCACUGGGGAAGUCCCUAAUACCAUUCUUUGAAAAGCUCUGUGGAGAAGGCAAUGGCACCCCACUCCAGUACUCUUGCCUGGAAAAUCCCAUGGACGGAGGAGCCUGGUGGGCUGCAGUCCAUGGGGUCGCUAGGAGUCUGACAUGACUGAGCGACUUCACUUUCACUUUUCACUUUCAUGCAUUGGAGAAGGAAAUGGCAAGCCACUCCAGUGUUCUUGCCUGGAGAAUCCCAGGGACGGGGGAGCCUGGUGGGCUGCCAUCUAUGGGGUCGCACAGAGUCGGACACGACUGAAACGACUUAGCAGCAGCAGCUUCCACUCCUUCACUGGCAAAUGCAAUCAGACUCCUGCAAUGUGAAGUGCACUGUGUUGAGGGCUAGGGAAGACAAAGGAGUCUAAACAUACAAGUCUCUGUCCUAGGGAAGUGUUGGGUUUGUAGGGGAGACACAGCAUUCCUACGAAUAGAUAUAAUGAAACUGAGUAAAACAUUAGUGCCAGAAGAUGCACUCAUUCUAUCUUUCAGCAGAUUUUACUGAUCAUCUAUUGUCAGCCAGACACUCUGCUUGCCUUCUUAGAACCUUUACACUUCCUCCUGUGGCACUGGAAGCCAUUAUAAUAUUUAAACAGGCACUAACUUGACAAGAUUGUGCUUUAGAAGGGCCUGUCUGUCAUAAAGUGGUAACAUUAGCGUCAAAGUAGCCAUUGGCAGUUGUUUCAGUGAUCAAGACCAGAGACAGCAGUGGCCUGAACUAAGCUGGAGGGGUAGAAACACAGGGAAGUGAGAAGGUCUGAGGAAGUACCAUUGGAGAACUUGGGCCUUGAUGAGGUGUCACAAAGGGGUAGGGAAGGGGAAAACCCCAGACUGGGACUCCGCAGAAGAUGGGUGUGAGCCCAUUUUGGGGGAGAGAUCUGGAUAUAACACUGAGAAAUAAAACUGAUAUUCUAGUUCCACUUAAGGCAAGAAGUGGAGGAAACUUUCAGGCUCAUCCAUGUUGAACAUGUAUCAAUAGCUUGUUCCUUUUUAAUCCUGGACAGUCCAUUGUAUGGAUAUACCACAUUGUGUUACCCAUUCACCAGUUGAUGGACAUUUGGAUUGUUUCCAGUUUGGGGCUAAUAUGAGUAAUAGUUCGGUGAACAUUUGUGUAUAAGUUUUUGGGUGGACCUGUCGUCAUUUCUCUUGGGUAUAU